UGGCCCUGUAGGCAGGUAUGGUCAGUUGCUAUGACAACAGGCCAGCAUGUACUCUUCUUCAGUGGUGCUAGAAAGUAGCCGGGUAGGGGAAUCGGGUGGACAUGAUGUUCAGGUGGACAGGGAAACGACAGCCUGUGCUCGUGCAGAACAGCUUGUCCUCUCCAUGGAUGGCAGGAUAUUUAGAGCUUGGCUGCGAGACUGACGCACAACUGCUGAGUUACACCUGCACAAGAGAGUAAUCGUGGACAAAUAUGCCCUAUCAUGGCAUUGUCCAUCAAGGACAUUUUGCUGAGGCGAAUAUGAGUGCUAAUAGCUUCCAUCCAACGGCUUAGUACAGAGACAGUGGUUACAUCAUGAUUAAGCAAUCGUGUGAAACGAGGUCACUUCUUUAAAGUAAUACCAUCAACUUUUACAAUGCUAUGAGGUUGAACUGAUACUAUAAAUCUGGAUCUGGAUUCUUUUGGACUUUCAUGGAAUCAAAAAAAGACUUCAGCUGUGCUGAAAAGACCUGGUUGACGGUGGACUAGCCUUGGUCGUUAAACUGCCAGUUAAGGGGACUCAGCAUCCAAAACACAACAUAUGCUGCUGACAGCAAGAAGGGAGGACUUUAAAGGCUUUUAUAGAACAUAUAGUCUGGACUGAAAACAAGUGGUGGUGUUCAGGGCAUAAACUUGACAGUAUCAAAAUGUCGUAUUUGAAAUACAGCCUCACCUAACAGAGCUAUGAGUCAUCCUCCACCAACACUGAUAAAUCUGUGCAAUGAACCUGCUGUAAAAGUUGCAAUGUCCUCGCUUUUUCCCAGAAAUGGCACAAUAGCAGCAAUCUUGUGAACUUGUGAUUUAAUGAUUUUCAGGAUGUAAAAUGUAAGUCAGUGCCAGGAGUGUGAUGCUCGAAUAUGCUCAUAAAUUUCAUUCUCAGAAUGUUAUGUAACCUAAGUUUUCAAUGUGAAUGAAGAUAUAUGCUUGCGUUCAUACGCCAGCACGGCAUGGUCUCUUACUGUGCAACAAACAAAGGCAGUAACCACCGUCAAUCCGCCCCCACAGUGAGCUUGUAAACAAAACAUGAGCUCAUGCCUUACAAGCUGCAAAAUGUGUGCUUACACAAAUGUCAGA